UACGUAGGGUGCGAGCGUUAAUCGGAAUUACUGGGCGUAAAGCGUGCGCAGGCGGUUUUGUAAGCCAGAUGUGAAAUCCCCGGGCUUAACCUGGGAAUGGCAUUUGGGACUGCAAGGCUCGAGUGCGGCAGAGGAGACUGGAAUUCCUGGUGUAGCGGUGAAAUGCGUAGAUAUCAGGAGGAACACCGAUGGCGAAGGCAGGUCUCUGGGCUGACACUGACGCUCAUGCACGAAAGCGUGGGGAGCAAACAGG
rnacentral:rRNA from 1 species